rnacentral:rRNA from 1 species
AUUGAACGCUGGCGGCAGGCUUAACACAUGCAAGUCGAGCGGGGUGAUGGUGCUUGCACUAUCACUUAGCGGCGGACGGGUGAGUAAUGCUUAGGAAUCUGCCUAUUAGUGGGGGACAACAUCUCGAAAGGGAUGCUAAUACCGCAUACGUCCUACGGGAGAAAGCAGGGGAUCACUUGUGACCUUGUGCUAAUAGAUGAGCCUAAGUCGGAUUAGCUAGUUGGUGGGGUAAAGGCCUACCAAGGCGACGAUCUGUAGCGGGUCUGAGAGGAUGAUCCGCCACACUGGGACUGGAACACGGCCCAGACUCCUACGGGAGGCAGCAGUGGGGAAUAUUGGACAGUGGGGGGAACCCUGAUCCAGCCAUGCCGCGUGUGUGAAGAAGGCCUUAUGGUUGUAAAGCACUUUAAGCGAGGAGGAGGCUUACCUAGUUAAUACCUGGGAUAAGUGGACGUUACUCGCAGAAUAAGCACCGGCUAACUCUGUGCCAGCCGCCGCAGUAA